AUUGAACGCUGGCGGCAGGCCUAACACAUGCAAGUAGAACGAGUGGCGGACGGGUGCGUAAUGUCUGGGAAACUGCCUGAUGGAGGGGGAUAACUAAUGGAAACGGUAGCUAAUACCGCAUACCAUCAGAUGUGCCCAGAUGGGAUUAGCUAGUUGGUGGGGUAACGGCUCACCAAGGCGACGAGCCCUAGCUGGUCUGAGAGGAUGACCAGCCACCCGGGAACUGAGACACGGGCCAGACUCCUCCGGGAGGCAGCAGUGGGGAUUAUUGCACAAUGGGGGCAAGCCUAAUGCAGCCAUGCCGCGUGUAUGAAGAAGGCCUUCGGGUGGUAAAGUACUUUCAGCGGGGAGGCGUUACCCGCAGAAGAAGCCCCGGCUAACUCCGUGCCAGCAGCCGCGGUAAUAC
rnacentral:rRNA from 1 species